GAUGAACGCUAGCGGCAGGCCUAAUACAUGCAAGUCGAACGGUGUCUUCGGACAUAGUGGCGCACGGGUGCGUAACACGUAUGCAACCUACCUUACAUUGGGGGAUAGCCUUUCGAAAGGGAGAUUAAUACCGCAUAAGACAGUAGCUGGGCAUCCAGCAGCUGUUAAAGAUUUAUCGAUGUAAGCUGGGCAUGCGUCCAAUUAGCUAGUUGGUGAGGUAACGGCUCAUCAAGGCAAUGAUUGGUAGGGGAACUGAGAGGUCAAUCCCCCACACUGGCACUGAGAUACGGGCCAGACUCCUAUGGGAGGCAGCAGUAGGGAAUAUUGGGCAAUGGACGCAAGUCUGACCCAGCCAUGCCGCGUGCAGGAUGAAGGCGUUAUGCGUUGUAAACUGCUUUUAUACAGGAAGAAACGACUCUUGCGAGAGGCAUUGACGGUACUGUAUGAAUAAGCACCGGCUAACUCCGUGCCAGCCGCCGCUGUAAAAC
rnacentral:rRNA from 1 species